rnacentral:snoRNA from 14 species
GAGCAACAAUGAAAAGGUUUUACCACUGAUCUUUAUAACUAUGAAGGUUUCUACAAUUGAUCAGAGAGUUGA